UCAGGAGGAACACCGAUGGCGAAGGCAGCUCACUGGACAAGCACUGACACUCAGGCACGAAAGCGUGGGGAGCGAAAGGGAUUAGAUACCCCUGUAGUCCACGCCGUAAACUUUGCACACUAGAUGUCGGGGGAUUCGACCCCCUCGGUGUCCCAGCUAACGCGAUAAGUGUGCCGCCUGCGGACUACGGCCGCAAGGCUAAAACGUAAAGGAAUUGGCGGGGCCCCGCACAAGCGGUGGAGCAUGUGGCUUAAUUCGAUGCAACGCGAAGAACCUUACCUGGGCUUGACAUGCACUGGCCCGGCUGUGAAAGCAGCCUUCCCUUCGGGGCCGGUGCACAGGUGCUGCAUGGCUGUCGUCAGCUCGUGUCGUGAGAUGUUCGGUUAAGUCCGGCAACGAGCGCAACCCCUGUCCUUAGUUGCCAGCAUUCAGUUGGGGACUCUAAGGAGACAAACCUCCUCUGGAGGUGGGAAGGUGGGGAUGACGUCAAGUCAGUAUGGCCCUUACGUCCAGGGCUGCACACGUGCUACAAUGCCCGGUACAAUGGGAAGCAAGACCGCGAGGUGGAGCAAAUCCAUAAAACCGGGCCCAGUUCGGAUUGGAGUCUGCAACUCGACUCCAUGAAGCCGGAAUCGCUAGUAAUGGCGCAUCAGCAAUGGCGCCGUGAAUACGUUCCCGGGGCUUGCACACACCGCCCGUC
rnacentral:rRNA from 1 species